rnacentral:pre_miRNA from 1 species
AAAAAGACAAAUCCUAAAUUUUCGUGUCCAACGUUUGACUAUUCGUUUUAUAUGAAUUUUUUUUUAUAAUUAGUAUUUUCAUUGUUGUUAGAUGAUAAAACAUGAUUAAUACUUUAUGCGUAACUUGUCUUUUUAAUUUUUUUCAUAUUUUUUUAAAUAAGACGGACGGUCAAACGUUGGACACGGAAAUUCAGGGUUUGUCUUUUU